rnacentral:rRNA from 1 species
UACGUAGGGUGCGAGCGUUGUCCGGAAUUACUGGGCGUAAAGAGCUCGUAGGUGGUUUGUCGCGUUGUUCGUGAAAACCGGGGGCUUAACCCUCGGCGUGCGGGCGAUACGGGCAGACUGGAGUACUGCAGGGGAGACUGGAAUUCCUGGUGUAGCGGUGGAAUGACGCAGAUAUCAGGAGGAACACCGGUGGCGAAGGCGGGUCUCUGGGCCGUAACUGACGCUGAGGAGCGAAAGCAUGGGGAGCGAACAGG